rnacentral:rRNA from 1 species
CCCUUAGAUGUUCUGGGCCGCACGCGUGCUACACUGAGUGGAUCAGCGGGUCAGGUUGCGCGAAAGCGUUUCCUAAUCUUUAAAUCCGCUCGUGAUGGGGAUUGACGGUUGCAAUUUUCUGUCAUGAACGAGGAAUACCUUGUAAGCGCGGGUCAUCAUCCCGCGCUGAAUACGUCCCUGCCCUUUGUACACACCGCCCGUCGCUCCUACCGAUUGAGUGGUCCGGUGAGGCUUUGGGAUCUGAGCGGAAAGAGCGUUUCGCUCGUUCUGCCCGGAAAACUCAGUCGAACCUUAUCAUUUAGAGGAAGGAGAAGUCGUAACA